rnacentral:rRNA from 1 species
UGGGGAAUAUUGCACAAUGGGCGCAAGCCUGAUGCAGCCAUGCCGCGUUUGUGAAGAAGGCCUUCGGGUUGUAAAGCACUUUCAGCGGGGAGGAAGGCGAUAAGGUUAAUAACCUUGUCCAUUGACGUUACCCGCAGAAGAAGCACCGGCUAACUCCGUGCCAGCAGCCGCGCUAAUACGGUGGGUGCAAGCGUUUAUCGGAAUUACUGGGCGUAAAGCGAACGCAGGCGGUCUGUCAAGUCGGAUGUGAAAUCCCCGGGCUCAACCUGGGAACUGCAUUCGAAACUGGCAGGCUAGAGUCUUGUAGAGGGGGGUAGAAUUCCAGGUGUAGCGGUGAAAUGCGUAGAGAUCUGGAGGAAUACCGGUGGCGAAGGCGGCCCCCUGUACAAAGACUGACGCUCAGGUGCGAAAGCGUGGGGAGCAAACAGG